rnacentral:rRNA from 1 species
GGAUGCGAACAUACCAACAUUAAUGCACUGGAUCCCAUCAGAACUCUACAGUUAAGCGUGCUUGGGCGAGAGUAGUACUAGGUUGGGUGAUUCUCGGAAAGUCCUCGUGUUGCAUCCC